rnacentral:siRNA from 1 species
GAGAUGUCCAGUUAAGAUUUAUGG